GUGUCGAUGAAACUUCCUACUCUAAAUGAAAAAGUGGAGAUAAGUGACAAAUAACAGAAAUAAAAACAAUCAAUUAUGAAUUCCUUGAUAACCAGAAACAGCUCUUGGUUUUCCAAGUAGCAUAUUCCAUUACUGCUCAAUCAAGCUGAAAAUUCAGGAGAGUACAUGCACAGAACAUUUAUGUACAAAUCAAACUCAUACUCAAACCACUGAUUCUGGCCCUGGUUCACUCACUUUCAUAGUCUUCUUCAUCUCCAAAAGUAAAAACAGAAGCAUCUGCAGCAAUGGCCUUAAAGUCACUUGAGUCGAUUUU